rnacentral:rRNA from 1 species
AACAGGGAUUGCCUUAGUAACGGCGAGUGAAGCGGCAACAGCUCAAAUUUGAAAUCUGGCUCCCUUGGGGGCCCGAGUUGUAAUUUGUAGAGGAUGUUUCGGCGUGGGCCCCGGUCUAAGUUCCUUGGAACAGGACGUCACAGAGGGUGAGAAUCCCGUACGUGGCCGUGGGUGCUCGCCAUGUGAAGCUCCUUCGACGAGUCGAGUUGUUUGGGAAUGCAGCUCUAAAUGGGAGGUAAAUUUCUUCUAAAGCUAAAUACUGGCCAGAGACCGAUAGCGCACAAGUAGAGUGAUCGAAAGAUGAAAAGCACUUUGGAAAGAGAGUCAAAAAGUACGUGAAAUUGUUGAAAGGGAAGCGCUUGCAACCAGACCUGCCUGCGGUUGCUCAUCCGGGCUCUUGCCCGGUGCACUCUUCCGCAGUCAGGCCAGCAUCAGCUCUGGCGGUCGGAUAAAGGCGGCGGGAAUGUGGCUCCCCUCGGGGAGUGUUAUAGCCCGCCGUGCAAUGCGGCCAGCCGGGACUGAGGUCCGCGCUUCGGCUAGGAUGCUGGCGUAAUGGUUGUAAGCGGCCCGUCUUGAAACACGGACCAAGGAGUCUAACAUCUGUGCGAGUGUUUGGGUGUCAAGCCCAGGCGCGUAAUGAAAGUGAACGGAGGCGGGAACCUUCGGGUGCACCGUCGACCGAUCCUGAUGUCUUCGGAUGGAUUUGAGUAAGAGCAUAGCUGUUGGGACCCGAAAGAUGGUGAACUAUGCCUGAAUAGGGUGAAGCCAGAGGAAACUCUGGUGGAGGCUCGCAGCGGUUCUGACGUGCAAAUCGAUCGUCAAAUUUGGGCAUAGG